UACGGAGGGGGCUAGCGUUGUUCGGAAUUACUGGGCGUAAAGGGCGCGUAGGCGGCUUGGCAAGUCGAGUGUGAAAUCCCUUGGCUUAACUAAGGAAUGGCGCUCGAAACUACCUCGCUAGAGGACGGGAGAGGGAAGUGGAACUCUCGGUGUAGGGGUGAAAUCUGUAGAUAUCGAGAGGAACACCGGUGGCGAAGGCGGCUUCCUGGCCCGUAGCUGACGCUGAGGCGCGAAAGCGUGGGGAGCAAACGGG
rnacentral:rRNA from 1 species